UCUCUCUCUUUCUCUCUCUCUCACUCCCUUCCUCUUUUCUAUACAUUGCGUUCCUCUUUCUCGCUUGCUCUCAUUGGUUAGUAAUGGUGCGCGCGCUCCUUCCCUCCGGCCGAGAGGCCUGAGGGAAAGAAACAGCGGAGGGCCGUACAUACGAACGAACGAAUGAGCGAACAAGUUGGCGAGAGAAGGAUAGAAACGAUAUAGAGAAGUUAGGAGUGCAGAAACGGUGGGGCUGACUCUGUUCGGUCUUGCGCGGCACGUAUUAGUCAACCCGGAGCCACGGUCCUCGUAGGAACCGUCCUCGUCGUCGUUAUUAUUUUUAUUAACAUAAUUCUAUCGUUGAUUGGUUAGUGUGUUGUAUGUGUAUUUAUGUGUGUGUGUGUGUAUAUUGUUUUGUAUUAAAAGAAGAAGAAGAAGAAGAUAAAGAAGAAGAAGAGGAAGAAUAAUAAUAAUGAGAAACAAUUUUGAAUAAUUGAUCAUCUGGUGAUAUACUCUAUAAAGAUUCUAUUCGUUUUAUUCGCGUAUACGAUAUAUAAUAUUACAAUAAUAAUAAUAAUAAUAAUAAUAACGAAAACAGGGUGUGCAACAACGACCAGUGCAUUCGACGAUAAGAAAAAAAAAGCCUUUUAUUAUUCUAACUACUGUUACUACCUACAACUUAUACGAUUCAACUACUGUGAUAUAAAUAGGUGUAUAUAUAUAUAUAUAUAUAUAUGAAAUAUCUACAUAUACACACAAGAGAUAUUCUCCAAUGAAAACGAGAGAAAGAGAAAGAAAGAAAGAAAGAGAGAGAGAGAGAGAAAGAGAGAGAGACGAGAAAUCGAUCCUCGAAACUCGUCCCGUUUCAAUUUCUCUUCUUCUCUUGGCACUUCGCGGUGACUCAUUUCGGGGAAAGUAAAACGAAACAACACGCCUCGGAAAGGAGGAGGAGACUUUCUGAUAUCGAGACUAAGGAUAAUUAGAAGAAAUAAAAAAACAAACAUACACACACAAAGACGUUAAAAAGAUAUAUAUAUAUAUAUA